GUCUGGGAGUGUUCCCGUGGUGACCCUGGCGUGUCUCUGUGUUCUACUGCUGGGUCUGGCUAUCACUCUGGGAGUCCUCUAUUCUUCCAACAUGACUAGUCUUCAAGCUGAGGAGGCUCGCUUUGCCCAGAUGAAAGAGAAUCUAACAGGGAAACUGCAUGAACUGCAAGACAACUA